UUUUUUUUUUUUUGCUGUUCACCACAAACUGUAAUUUGAGUCGUGCAACAGCUGAGAUUACGUAUACGCCACCGCAAGAUCUUAUUUCAGAUUUAAGCUGUAUGUGGCCGGCGCUUCUUUAUGAUUCCGUUGUUAAUUUGCGGCUAGUGAUAAAUGAUAAGCGUAAAUUGGCGCAAUUGUUAUGAGCCAACAAAUGGAAAUGGCCUCUGAGCUACGCACACACUAAACCGCACUAUUAAUAAUACUUAGUGAGCGGCGCACCAUUGAUAAAUAUGGCAGCAGUUAAAACCAGGCCAUAAAUGCGCAACUACAACAAAUCACCAAACAAUUUGAGGCCUGUCCACAAUGGUUAAGUCAAGCCAGGUGUCCUGC